rnacentral:pre_miRNA from 1 species
AAUUAUGAAGCCCAGGAUGGAUAGCGCCAGCCCCACUUGAAAUUUGCAGUGGGCGCUAUCCCUCUGAGCUUUGUAAUU